CUAGCAACACUCUUGUUGUCUCUGACAUCUUGUGAUCACAAGACUUCUAUCCUCUAGUUUUCUGUCAAGGCAAAAAUUGGGCGAGAAAAAGCCGUCCCUGCAGGGAUUCGUGUGUAAAAUAGCUCCAAUUUAGUGCAACACAACAUCAAGAUGAGGUACUUCUUAACUUAUUUGGCCGGGCUCAUAAUAGUCCUUGUGAUUCCCAUUUUCUCCAUGUACUAUUUAUUGAACGGAAAGGGUGAGCAAAUCAGCUUUGGAUGGUUCCUGGAGAAUACGUCGCCCUACAUGUGGGCGACGUUGGGCAUAGCCUUCGCCGUGUCACUGUCCGUGGUCGGCGCGGCGGCAGGUAUCCACACCGUUGGCGUGAGCAUAGUCGGUGGAGGUGUUAAGGCGCCCAGAAUCAAGACCAAGAACUUGAUCUCCGUUAUCUUCUGCGAGGCCGUGGCUAUCUACGGGCUGAUCACUGCCAUCGUGCUAUCUGGUAUGCUGGAAAAAUACCCUGAACCCUUGACAGACAUCAGUAUCAAGAGUCAAAACUACAUGGCUGGCUAUGUAAUGUUUGGAGCAGGAUUGGCUGUCGGCCUUGUAAACUUAUUCUGUGGUAUCGCUGUGGGAAUUGUUGGAUCUGGAGCGGCCCUCUCUGACGCAGCCAAUGCAGCACUUUUUGUGAAGAUCCUCAUUGUUGAAAUCUUUGGAUCCGCCAUUGGUCUAUUUGGGCUCAUUGUUGGUAUUUACAUGACAUCAAAAGUCAAAAUGGGUGCUGCUUAAGAAGACAAACUUAAAAUUAAGUGUGAGUACUAACAUACUUGUUGUAACUAUUGUAAUCCUAACUAUUUGCUAUUAUUAUAGUGUGAAACUGGUUUGAAGCACCUUUAGACUAAAAAAUGUAAGCUCUCCUAGUGUGCAAAAAUGUAUUAGAUACUAAUUGUAUAAGCACACAAUUUUGACUAUGGUUUUAUUUUAUUUUCAGUAUGCAACAGCACUGGAUCACCAGUAAAACCAAGUGUAAGACAAACAGUGCUGAGAAAAGUAUCCAAUCAAUGGUAAAUUAUCCAGUAUAGCUUGAAUUCAAUACUACCGCAGUGUUACUUGUAUUACUACGACCUAACUACUUUGAUGUGUUAUGUGAUGUCUAAACUUGUUAAAUAGAUGUAACUUCAUAUUUGUAAAAGAUACCUGACCCUGGCACUUCUACAAGAUUACAAUUUUGAAUAUAAAACCUCAUCUUACUUAAGUUGUUGCAUUUUGUGCCAAGGAUUCAGGUAUCUGCCAGAUCAUUUUAUUUGUGGAUAGAAUCAGUAUUUAGUUGGAGUGUUUUUGACAAUUUAACAGUGGACUUUUGAGUAACUAAGCUGAGCUGACUCUUAGGGGUUAUAGUGACUGGAUUCACAUUGAAUUAAAUAAUACAUGUCAUAUCAAAAAUGAUAUCAAACUUUUGUUAUGUAUAACUCAAACUAUACUUUAUGAACCUGUAUUGAUCCCGGGUUUUGAUAAUUAGUUCAAUGUGGUAUCUAGUCAGUGUUAAAGGCUUAACAUUCCAUGAACCUCAUGCAACUUGAAUAAGUGUUUAUUGGCCUCCCAGCAGCCACCCAUACAUGUACUGUACAUAAACUAAUUGGAGUAUAUAGCACAUUAAAAUUAAGGUUGUUUUCCAAACACUUUGUUAAGAUAUAUUAAAUGUAUUUUCAAUAUAAUAUAUUGUAUUGUAUGAGAUUAUCACUAGAUAUAUUGGAAGGUGUUAGAGAAGUUUCAUAUACCUGUUUGUCAUUAUCAUUAAAAUGUAUUUUCUUGAUGUAUUUAUUUGAAUAACAUUGCUUUAUUAAAUCUUUGUUCAUUACGAGUCACAAAGUGGAAAAGAACCUUAAUGCAGGAACUAGUUGUUUUGAUGCAGUUCAAUUUUAUUUUAUAAUUUAUGCAAUCAAAAUAAUACUUCAAUUGUAAAUAUGUUUGCUUUCCUAUUUCUUGUGAACACGCUAAUUUAUUAUAUCUACUUGUAAAGUAUCCCUUUAAACUUAACUAUAGGUGUUGAAGUUAAUGCCAUAGAUUGUGUAUGAGUAUUGAAAUUCAAUUUUUAUUGAUAACUUAAGGCACAAUGUCGUGUACACAGUUUUGGAAUUAAAAAAAUCGAAAGUAUUAUGUCAGUCCUAAGUAAACUACUGAUGUAAUUCUAAGUUAAUAUUUUAUUUGUGCAAAUGUAGAUAUUAUGUAUGUUGAUGAAUAAAUAGAUAAAAGUUGU